UUCUUCCUACGGGAGGCAGCAGUGAGGAAUAUUGGUCAAUGGGCGCAAGCCUGAACCAGCCACGUCGCGUGAGGGAUGACGGUCCUAUGGAUUGUAAACCUCUUUUGUCGGGGAGCAAGGCCCGCCACGUGUGGCGGGAAGGAGAGUACCCGAAGAAAAAGCAUCGGCUAACUCCGUGCCAGCAGCCGCGGUAAUACGGAGGAUGCGAGCGUUAUCCGGAAUUAUUGGGCUUAAAGGGGGCGUAGGCGGAAGGUUAAGUCAGCGGUCAAAUGCCGCGGCUCAACCCCGGCCUGCCGUUGGA
rnacentral:rRNA from 1 species